AGCUAAGAAUCUUCCGCAAUGGGCGAAAGCCUGACGGAGCGACGCCGCGUGAACGAAGAAGGCCGAAAGGUUGUAAAGUUCUUUUCUUGGAGAAGAAUAAGCAUUACAGGAAAUGGUAGUGUGAUGACGUUAACCGAGGAAAAAGCCCCGGCUAAUUACGUGCCAGCAGCCGCGGUAACACGUAAGGGGCGAGCGUUGUUCGGAAUCAUUGGGCGUAAAGGGCGCGUAGGCGGCAUAGCAAGUCAGAUGUGAAAUAUCCCAGCUUAACUGGGGGAGCGCGUUUGAAACUGCUGUGCUGGAGUCUAGGAGGGGAAGCUGGAAUUCCUGGUGUAGGGGUGAAAUCUGUAGAUAUCAGGAAGAACACCGGUGGCGAAGGCGAGCUUCUGGCCAUAGACUGACGCUGAGGCGCGAAAGCGUGGGGAGCGAACAGGAUUAGAUACCCUGGUAGUCCACGCUGUAAACGAUGGAUAUUAGGUGUCGGGGGUUACCUUCGGUGCCGCAGU
rnacentral:rRNA from 1 species